rnacentral:tRNA from 1 species
UCUGCGGUAAGUUAAGAAAACUAUGGGGCUCAUGCCCUCUCAUUGGCUCCUAGCUGGGCCCUGCAGAU